rnacentral:lncRNA from 1 species
CAGCAUCUCUUGAAGUUGCAUAAUUGGCACGGUGGCUGCACCCUCUUCUAAGAUAUGUAGAUAGUGCCCCAAGAUGAGGGGUGUAAAAGCCUGGAUGCUGUGGAAGCCGUCCUGACUGUUGAGAAGAACCAGAAGCUGGUCCUUCUGUAUCUGCUUGCCCUGGGUUCUGCCCGCACAGACUCUAUCUUGGUGACUUCCUAGAGAGCCAUUUCCUAGACGAGGAGGGAAAAAGAACUCAGCAAGAAGACCGGUGACCACCUGUCCACCCUUCACAGGCUG